rnacentral:rRNA from 1 species
AUUGAACGCUGGCGGCAGGCUUAACACAUGCAAGUCGAACGAGUGGCGGACGGGUGAGUAAUGUCUGGGAAACUGCCUGCUGGAGGGGGAUAACUACUGGAAACGGUAGCUAAUACCGCAUACCAUCAGAUGUGCCCAGCUGGGAUUAGCUAGUGGGUGGGGUAACGGCUCACCGAGGCGACGAUCCCUAGCGGGUCUGAGAGGAUGACCAGCCACACGGGAACUGAGACACGGUCCAGACUCCUACGGGAGGCAGCAGUGGGGAAUAUGGCACAAUGGGCGCAAGUCUGAUGCAGCCAUGGCGCGUGUAUGAAGAAGGCCUUCGGGUUGUAAAGUACGUUCAGCGGGGAGGCGUUACCCGCAGAAGAAGCACCGGCUAACUCCGUGCCAGCAGCCGCGGUAAUAC